rnacentral:misc_RNA from 1 species
GAAAUGCGAUACGUAAUGCGAAUUGCAGAACUCAGUGAAUCAUCAAAUCUUUGAACGCACAUGGCGCUUCUCCGGAAGCAUGCUUGGCUCAGUGUCUGUAAUACCCCCUCUUUCCACUUUCUUUUGGGAGAGUUGGAACAGGUAACUUGGGAGUUGCGACGCGGUUGUGCUGUCGCGUCUCUUGAAGAGUGCUUUGGGGAGCAGUGAUGUACAGGUGGUUCCUGGCUGCCUCCAGUGCCUGGUUCUGUAUGGUAAGUGGGGUUCAUUCCCACAGCUUAACCCAGCAGUGCUGCCUGGUGGUGUAUCCUGGGAGCAAUAUCACGCCUGUCAUCGUAGCAUGGCUCGCCGAGACCGCCUGCGGUCUCGCCCCAUUCCUUUUUUCACCAGACCUGAGUCAAGUAAGAGGGCCCGCUGAAUUUAA